GAUGAACGCUGGCGGCGUGCCUAAUACAUGCAAGUCGAGCGAACGGACGAGAAGCUUGCUUCUCUGAUGUUAGCGGCGGACGGGUGAGUAAAACGUGGAUAACCUACCUAUAAGACUGGGAUAACUUCGGGAAACCGGAGCUAAUACCGGAUAAUAUUUUGAACCGCAUGGUUCAAAAGUGAAAGACGGUCUUGCUGUCACUUAUAGAUGGAUCCGCGCUGCAUUAGCUAGUUGGUAAGGCAACGGCUUACCAAGGCAACGAUGCAUAGCCGACCUGAGAGGGUGAUCGGCCACACUGGAACUGAGACACGGUCCAGACUCCUACGGGAGGCAGCAGUAGGGAAUCUUCCGCAAUGGGCGAAAGCCUGACGGAUCAACGCCGCGUGAGUGAUGAAGGUCUUCGGAUCGUAAAACUCUGUUAUUAGGGAAGAACAUAUGUGUAAGUAACUGUGCACAUCUUGACGGUACCUAAUCAGAAAGCCACGGCUAACUACGUG
rnacentral:rRNA from 1 species